rnacentral:rRNA from 1 species
AUUGAACGCUGGCGGCAGGCCUAACACAUGCAAGUCGAACGAGUGGCGGACGGGUGAGUAAUGUCUGGGAAACUGCCCGAUGGAGGGGGAUAACUACUGGAAACGGUAGCUAAUACCGCAUACCAUCGGAUGUGCCGAGAUGGGAUUAGCUAGUAGGUGGGGUAACGGCUCACCUAGACGACGAUCCCUAGCUGGUCUGAGAGGAUGACCAGGAACGCUUGAACUGAGACACUGUCCAGACUCCUACGUGAGGCAGCAGUGGGGAAUAUUGCACAAUGGGCGCAAGCCUGAUGCAGCCAUGCCGCGUGUAUGAAGAAGGCCUGCGGGUUGUAAAGUACUUUCAGCGAGGAGGCGUUACUCGCAGAAGAAGCACCGGCUAACUCCGUGCCAGCAGCCGCGGUAAUAC